rnacentral:rRNA from 1 species
GAACCGCAUGGUUCAAUAGUGAAAGACGGUUUUGCUGUCACUUAUAGAUGGAUCCGCGCCGCAUUAGCUAGUUGGUAAGGUAACAGCUUACCAAGGCAACGAUGCGUAGCCGACCUGAGAGGGUGAUCGGCCACACUGGAACUGAGACACGGUCCAGACUCCUACGGGAGGCAGCAGUAGGGAAUCUUCCGCAAUGGGCGAAAGCCUGACGGAGCAACGCCGCGUGAGUGAUGAAGGUCUUCGGAUCGUAAAACUCUGUUAUUAGGGAAGAACAAAUGUGUAAGUAACUAUGCACGUCUUGACGGUACCUAAUCGGAAAGCCACGGCUAACUACGUGCCAGCAGCCGCGGUAAUACGUAGGUGGCAAGCGUUAUCCGGAAUUAUUGGGCGUAAAGCGCGCGUAGGCGGUUUUUUAAGUCUGAUGUGAAAGCCCACGGCUCAACCGUGGAGGGUCAUUGGAAACUGGAAAACUUGAGUGCAGAAGAGGAAAGUGGAAUUCCAUGUGUAGCGGUGAAAUGCGCAGAGAUAUGGAGGAACACCAGUGGCGAAGGCGACUUUCUGGUCUGUAACUGACGCUGAUGUGCGAAAGCGUG